rnacentral:rRNA from 1 species
GACGAACGCUGGCGGCGUGCCUAGCACAUGCAAGUCGAGCGGGGAUUUAAGUGGAAGUUCUUCGGAAUGGAGAUUUAAAUUCUAGCGGCGGACGGGUGAGUAACGCGUGAACAAUCUGUCCCGGACAGGGGGAUAACACUUGGAAACAGGUGCUAAUACCGCAUAAGACCACGGCCUCGCAUGGGGCUGAGGUAAAAGGAGCAAUCCGGUUCGGGGUGAGUUCGCGUCCGAUUAGCUAGUUGGUGAGGUAACGGCCCACCAAGGCGACGAUCGGUAGCCGGCCUGAGAGGGUGAACGGCCACAUUGGAACUGAGAGACGGUCCAAACUCCUACGGGAGGCAGCAGUGGGGAAUAUUGGGCAAUGGGCGAAAGCCUGACCCAGCAACGCCGCGUGAGGGAAGAAGGUUUUCGGAUUGUAAACCUCUGUCCUAUGGGACGAAGGAAGUGACGGUACCAUAGGAGGAAGCCCCGGCUAACUACGUG